rnacentral:lncRNA from 1 species
UCCAUAUGAUUCUAAGUUGUUUAAAUAUGAGGCUAGUUUAAUCAAGUAAAUAUGAGCUUGAAUUCAGUAGUAGCACCUGAAGCCUGUAGUAAGCAGUAAGAGUUCUUUUUCUAUAUAUAUGCGUCUUUGUGUCGGCCGGCGUACGGGUACUUUGUAUGUAUUCGUUUUAUUAAAUGCAUUCUGGUUAGGAUUUGGUCAUGGCAUCACCUUGAUGUUUUGAUUUCUUUAAAUCUGGUUGCAAGUUUACUGUUUUUCCACAACCAUCAACUUACACUUUGGGCAUUGGGCAUUGGAAUUUAGGCAUUUAUGUAUAAUUUUAGUUUUGGAUGUAUCCAAUGCAAAAUUACUGUCAUCUGUCAAGUUGAUUCUAAAAUGUCUCAUGAUCUUCAUUUCAGAUGGUGAUGUCUGGAUAUAGUACCAAUUUAUCUUACAUGAUAGCAUUGUCUCGUGUAUCAAUUUUUUGUUAAUGGAAAUGUUAAGAAAUCAUGAAAUUUAUUUGGACUUGCACACAUUAGGUAAGAAAGGAUCGCUAAUCUGGUUGUCCAAAUGAUGGUAAAACUUAGGCUCUUGCAUGGUUUUUGGAUUUAUGGUUCUGUUAGCAUAUAUUAUUCAUAUUGAGACUGAACAUGUGGCUUUUCUUCUCAUCUACAGGAGAGUGACAGGAGAGUUACAGGAUUAUUAUUUUUAAAGAAGUUGGAAGUCCAAGUCAAUGACUUGCUUUAUAUGUCUGUUGUAAUGUCAAAUUUUCUGGGAAUUUGGAUGUAUUGUUCAUCUUGCUGAGAAUUUUGUGUAUAUUUGCUCGCUAAAUUUAUUAAUCAAAUGCUAGAAUUCAUGUACAAAUCCUUGGAAUAAUAUUUUGUGUUUACUUGAAAUGCAUUUUUGGAUUGAACAUGGUCAAAAAAGAAUAUAUUAGUAUUAAACUUAGGUUGAUUCUAUGUUUGUGUUGUCACAUGUAUUUGAAAGACACAGGCCUCGCCCAAAUGAAAAACUGGCCAAAAUGUGUAUAGGAUAAGAUAUAUCUGUGCCUUCAUAAUUCUACAAACCAAAAAGAAUGGGAUUACAAAAAGCACAAGGUCUAACAAAUAAAUGGACUACUAAAAUCUCGAG